AUCACUCCGGCCCUGAUGAUUGGGUAUUCAUACAUUUGUGUGACAUGUGUCUCCCUUAAAACUUGUUAUGCUCUUGGCACAGUACACUGUAGCAC
rnacentral:snoRNA from 1 species